GGAGCCCCAGCCCUGGGAUUCCCAGCUGUCUCUACCUGCUGAUCAGCACUGAACACAGAGGACUCACCAUGGAGUCUGGGCUGAGCUGGGUUUUCCUUGUUGCUAUUUUAAAAGGUGUCCAGUGUGAGGUGCAGCUGGUGGAGUCUGGGGGAGGCUUGGCAAAGCCUGGGGGGUCCCUGAGACUCUCCUGUGCGGCCUCUGGAUUCACCUUCAGUAGCUACUACAUGGAGCUGGGUCCGCCAGGCUCCGGGGAAGGGGCUGGAGUGGGUUGGAGAAAUUAAUCCUAAUGGUGGUAGCACAGGCUACGCAGACUCCGUGAAGGGCCGAUUCACCAUCUCCAGAGACAACGCCAAGAACUCGCUGUAUCUGCAGAUGAGCAGCCUGAGAGCCGAGGACACGGCCGUGUAUUACUGUGCGAGAGACACAGUGAGGGGAGGCCCCUGUGGGCCCGGACACAAACCUCCUGCAGGGGCGCGCGGGGCCGCCAGGGGGCGCUCGGGACCCACCGAGGACGGGGCGGGCCCCAGGAGCAGGUGCAGGGGGAGGGUCCUUUCUCCACAGCUGGAGAAGUCAGAAGUCUGGAGUCUUGCAGACCAGGAGAUACCCAGGCAGAGGGGUCGCCAGCGUCGCAGUCCAAGCUGGUGCGGCUGUUUUGGCCCCCGCAGGGCUGAUUCCGCCCGCGCGGCUGCUGUGA